GAUGAACGCUGGCGGCGUGCCUAAUACAUGCAAGUCGAGCGAACGGACGAGAAGCUUGCUUUUCUGAUGUUAGCGGCGGACGGGUGAGUAACACGUGGAUAACCUACCUAUAAGACUGGGAUAACUUCGGGAAACCGGAGCUAAUACCGGAUAAUAUUUUGAACCGCGUGGUUCAAAAGUGAAAGACGGUCUUGCUGUCACUUAUAGAUGGAUCCGCGCUGCAUUAGCUAGUUGGUAAGGUAACGGCUUACCAAGGCAACGAUGCAUAGCCGACCUGAGAGGGUGAUCGGCCACACUGGAACUGAGACACGGUCCAGACUCCUACGGGAGGCAGCAGUAGGGAAUCUUCCGCAAUGGGCGAAAGCCUGACGGAGCAACGCCGCGUGAGUGAUGAAGGUCUUCGGAUCGUAAAACUCUGUUAUUAGGGAAGAACAUAUGUGUAAGUAACUGUGCACAUCUUGACGGUACCUAAUCAGAAAGCCACGGCUAACUACGUG
rnacentral:rRNA from 1 species